rnacentral:lncRNA from 1 species
CGGGACCCCCAGCAGGAGCCGGGUCGGGCUUCCGCCACACUCAAGAUGGCGGCCGUAACAGGCCCCCCCCCGACAGAGGUGUCCUCGCUACUGCCUGCCGUCACACGCGUGGCCGCUGCCCGGCUCCGGCGCCACUGACCCCGCCGCACGCAUCCUCGCGCGGGGAAAGGCGGCGGAAAAUCGUGCGGAGAGCGCGGAGUCGGUCAGUGUCGGCCGGUUUUUCGUUCAGGCAAUGACUUAGACAGACACCACUGUGAGGGGCGGGGGCCUUAAAGGUGCCACAACAAACAUGGCGGCUAUACCGGAAGUGGCUUCAGCCGCAACAAAGAUGGCGGCGGGAAAGGCGGAAGUCACGCGACACCACACUCAAGAUGGCCUCCCGGUCACUAGUCUCUUGACCUUCUAAGUAUGGCGGCGGAAAAGGGCGGGAAAAAGUAAGGACCCUGCAGUGCGUCUACCCGACUGCCUGCGCACGCCGCCGACACCGAUGCCGCUCCGGAGCGAUUUUCCGCGGCAUUUCCAGGCGUUCCGACACGGGCUGUGUGCUCAGCGGCGCCGGGACCGGGUGCGAGCCUGGCGGGAGAGCUCGUGGGCGCCAGCAGGCAGUGGCGAAGACGCCUCUCUUUUCUGGGGUCCUGUCGCGGCCGCCAUCUUGGGUGUGGCGGAAGCCCGACCCGUCCUGUCCCGUCCCCUGCCGCCGCUUCUCGCGCUUUGCCGUCUCCCCCCGGCCCGGGGAAAUGGAGGAAAACAAAAUUACAUCGGGCCCGAACAGUCGGCCGAGCUGCCUGAGCCUUUCUCCUGUCCGCAGCGAGGUGGCUGCCCGGAGCCGGGAGUGCCCGGCAGGAGGAGGCAGCUGCUGUGUUCGCCGGGAAGACUGUGGAGCGUUGGGAAGAAUAUUCGGCAUAGAGAAGUGAAAGACACGAGGAAAUGCUUUAGGCACCACGUGCAGCUUCUGAACAGCAUCCAUAAUCCCGACUCCCACAAAAACCUCCUGAAAAUGGAAGGGACGGGGAAGAAAAUUCCAGGAGUGGUGUGGGAGGCGCUUUCACCCAGGUCUGGACAGCGUUGA